GACGAACGCUGGCGGCGUGCCUAACACAUGCAAGUAGAACGCUGAAGAGAGGAGCUUGCUCUUCUUGGAUGAGUUGCGAACGGGUGAGUAACGCGUAGGUAACCUGCCUUGUAGCGGGGGAUAACUAUUGGAAACGAUAGCUAAUACCGCAUAACAAUGGAUGACACAUGUCAUUUAUUUGAAAGGGGCAAUUGCUCCACUACAAGAUGGACCUGCGUUGUAUUAGCUAGUAGGUGAGGUAAUGGCUCACCUAGGCGACGAUACAUAGCCGACCUGAGAGGGUGAUCGGCCGCACUGGGACUGAGACACGGCCCAGACUCCUACGGGAGGCAGCAGUAGGGAAUCUUCGGCAAUGGGGGCAACCCUGACCGAGCAACGCCGCGUGAGUGAAGAAGGUUUUCGGAUCGUAAAGCUCUGUUGUAAGUCAAGAACGGGUGUGAGAGUGGAAAGUUCACACUGUGACGGUAGCUUACCAGAAAGGGACGGCUAACUACGUG
rnacentral:rRNA from 1 species